rnacentral:RNase_P_RNA from 1 species
GCGGAUAGUUGGAUGGCCGCGGCUAAUUUAGUCGAGGAAAGUCCGGACUCCACAAAGAAUGGUGCCGGUUAACGGCCGGCCAGGGUAACUUGAGGGAAAGCGCCACAGAAAAGAAACGUCCUGUUUUCAGGUCAAGGUGAAAUGGUGAGGUAAGAGCUCACCGCAAUUUUGGUAACAAGAUUGGCAAGGCAAGCCCCACCUGGAGCAAUGCCAAAUAGGAACUAUGUCCAACAAUCGUUGGGGAAGACUUUGCUUCCAAUAGUUCGGGUUGGCAGCUAAAGACUACUGGUAACGGUAGGACAAGAUGAAUGGUCAUUGCCGCUUAAAGCGGUACAGAAUCCGGCUUACAUGCUGUCCGCACAC